UUCUGACGUGUCGCAUUUUUGGAGGGCAACAGCAGAGUCAAUCAAGCGUUUGUCAGAGCUCGAGCGUUUGUCUUGUGAGAUGCAGUCGUUAUUUCACAACAUUCUAAAGCAUUACUGCCAAUAAAAAAGAAAAAAAAGUAAUUACAUUACCUACAUUCAACUAUCGAAUAGUACUAGUGUAAGGGUUCUUCGAGAAAACCCUCGAGCAGUGGUGUUUUGAAC
rnacentral:ribozyme from 1 species